rnacentral:rRNA from 1 species
UACAGAGGUGGCAAGCGUUGUUCGGAAUUACUGGGCGUAAAGGGCGCGUAGGCGGCUUGACAAGUCAAAGGUGAAAUCCCUCGGCUCAACUGAGGAACUGCCUUUGAAACUGUCUGGCUUGAGGCCGGGAGGGGGUAGCGGAAUUCCCAGUGUAGCGGUGAAAUGCGUAGAUAUUGGGAGGAACACCAGUGGCGAAGGCGGCUACCUGGACCGGUUCUGACGCUGAUGCGCGAAAGCGUGGGUAGCAAACAGG